UCUCUAAUCUCAGAGAGGAGGGUCUCUAAUUUUACUGUAAUGGGGGUCUCUAAUCCCACCUGAGAGAUAGGGGGGGGUCUCAUCUUAGAGGAGAUAGCCCUAAUCCUAGUGAGAUGUCUAAUUUUACCUUAGGGGGUCUCUAAUCUCACUUUAGGGGGGUUCCAAUCUUUAGAGAGAAGUGGGGGUCUCUAAUCUUACUUUAGAGAGA